rnacentral:rRNA from 1 species
GAUGAACGCUGGCGGCGUGCCUAAUACAUGCAAGUCGAGCGAACGGACGAGAAGCUUGCUUUUCUGAUGUUAGCGGCGGACGGGUGAGUAACACGUGGAUAACCUACCUGUAAGACUGGGAUAACUUCGGGAAACCGGAGCUAAUACCGGAUAAUAUUUUGAACCGCAUGGUUCAAAAGUGAAAGACGGUCUUGCUGUCACUUAUAGAUGGAUCCGCGCUGCAUUAGCUAGUUGGUAAGGUAACGGCUUACCAAGGCAACGAUGCAUAGCCGACCUGAGAGGGUGAUCGGCCACACUGGAACUGAGACACGGUCCAGACUCCUACGGGAGGCAGCAGUAGGGAAUCUUCCGCAAUGGGCGAAAGCCUGACGGAGCAACGCCGCGUGAGUGAUGAAGGUCUUCGGAUCGUAAAACUCUGUUAUUAGGGAAGAACAUAUGUGUAAGUAACUGUGCACAUCUUGACGGUACCUAAUCAGAAAGCCACGGCUAACUACGUG